rnacentral:rRNA from 1 species
GACGAACCGUCCGAACGUUAUUCGGAAUCACUGGGCUUAAAGGGUGCGUAGGCGGCGCGGCAAGUUGGGUGUGAAAUCCCUCGGCUCAACCGAGGAACUGCGCCCAAAACUACCGUGCUCGAGGGAGAUAGAGGUGAGCGGAACUUAGGGUGGAGCGGUGAAAUGCGUUGAUAUCCUAAGGAACACCGGUGGCGAAAGCGGCUCACUGGAUCUCUUCUGACGCUGAGGCACGAAAGCUAGGGUAGCGAACGGG